GCGUGGUGGGUAGGUAGCAGCGGCCUCGUUGGUACGAACGGGAGGCGAGUCUCAGGUGAGGUGACUCGGCUUCCUGUUCCCUCGCCCCGGGGCGCUGGGCCUGGGCGGGAAGUGGAGCAGAGCCGCCUCCCCUCCAGGUACUGACCACCCCAGCUCACAUUUGCCACGGAGCUGGUGCUCGGGCAGUGCGUGGACCCCUGUGGCCUCCUGCCUUGGAGCCGGACCUGCUGGCCGCUUCUGGGGUGCAGUGCGGUGCCCCAGGACAGCAGGUAUCACUUAAAAGCGAAGCCUUUCUCCUCCGAUGAACUGAAAAUAAGAGAACAUAAGUCAAGGCAGACAUUUGACAAAGCCAAUAUCAAGAUUAGUGGCAGGUGAAAGUCUCAACCAACAGAAAUAGCUUUUACCUUGGUCAAGUACUCCUUCAUGACCUGAAUAAAAUAGGGCAUGGCAAAGUCCAUGAUGUUGUGCCUCCAUGCAGUUUCCAAGACAACAUCUGGCCUUAGAAGGUCAUAACAGGUGAAGAGACAAGCUCCAAAACAUUCUCUCUUUUCUUCCUGCAAGAACCACUGCAGCAAUUCUUCUGCUAACUCUGUAUCUUUGGAUUCUGAAGCAUAUUGCAUUGCAUCCUACAAAAAAGAACAAGAAGAACAAAACCUCUCAUUAAAAGAGCCACAUCUAAUAUGCUGGAGCAGGAACUGGUCAAAGCAGUAAUGAGCCAUUCCAAAAAAGCUAUCUUGGGGAUUUAGGCUUCCAAGAUGCACAAAAACAGCUUUUCAAGUACAUUAUAGCAAUAUUAUCAAAGGGGGUAGGAUCACUGAUACUAGUAUUAAAGCCAUGUGAACAUAGGUCUGCAUAGCUUUAAUGUUCUAUAUUCCAGUCUGUUACCUUGUAUAGUCUGUCUUUCUUGCAAAGUUCUACACUCUGUUUCCAGCGAUUGUUGCCUUUAAAGAGAUAUGCAGCAAUUCUUCUGAACUCAAUCAGCUCGUGCUUCUCCAAACGCUGAGCAAGGGAGAUGUUGUCAAAGUUGUCAUAGGCAUCUAUAGAUGUCCUAAGAGCCUGAAUUGGAAUAGAAUGGAGUCAUUCAAACCUCAGUGCUCGUGUUCCAGAAAGGGUCAACCAAUUUACGUUUUAGAUACCACUUGAGCUGUUUGCAGAGUUCCUUUGCUCAAACUUUUGAGUCUAUUUUCAGAUCUUAAGUAAUCCUGCAGUUUGUUACUGCAGUUAAUGGAUGCACAUUUAUACCAAUUAGCUAUCUCUACCAAUUAGCAUGCACAAAAGAAAGGUGUUUUAAACAAGGGCAAUUUUUUUUUUUUUUUUAAAGCCUACCUGAUAGUCUUCUUCUAUAAUGAAGAGAUUAUUCAGAGACUCAUUCACGGAUUUGUUGUUGUGGUUUUGAACUGAGCGCAAGUAGGGUUUAACAAGUGGAAGCUGUUUAGCCUUUAAGAGAAGAAGUUUUGACAUGAGAAUCCUGAAUAUAACAAUAUAGCACACCAUAAGCUUAUAGAUGUCCAUCGCAGAUACAUUCACUGUCAUUUACUCAACUGGAGUUGUAAACCUUUAGAUGUAGCCAAAUGCUUCAUCUCCACUUGUAAAGUCUUUCAUAAUUAUAGGAAAAUAAAAACCAGUUACCUUACUGAAGAAGUUUACAGCACGAGUAUGAUCCAGCCGGGGAGACAGCACCAUCAACAGAUCAUUGAGCAACAGGGGUUUAAAUUCCAAAUAAAACUGGAUUGCUUUAUAAUACAGCUCCACAUUGGCCACCUAGAGACAGCACAGAGGAUCAUUUAAUAGAUCUUUACAUACUUGUUUCAUGGUGUUUAUGUAUUUCUGCAUGGAUUUUUCUGGUUCAUUACCUCUAAUGAAAAUAAGACCCUUAAGUUACCUGAAGCAUGUCUGCCAGCAUAAAGAAAUUUUGCUUUAAA